ACUAUCUCUGAGGGUCUCUCUGUCAGUGCCUCACUAUCUCUGAGGGUCUCUCUCUGUCAGUCCCUCUCUGUGAGAAGGAGAAUGACAACAUCUCUCUCCCCUUCUCUUUCUCAGGAACAGGAAAGGAAACGGAAACAGAAAUGGAAACGGAUGUGGAAACAAAAACAGAAAUCCAAAUAAACAGCGCUCUCGGAUGCCAUUUCCACCCCCAUGCAAGAAUCAGAUUCUCCCAACCCCUAUAAGUGAUUUGGAGUCGGUUUUUGGUGAUGAGGUGACCGAGCGACCGAACAAUUUCCGAGUGGGAAAACAUCCAAAGAGGAAUGCUGGGUGGCAAAAGAGCAGGAGGAGUUUCGAAAUCUGGUUUGAGAGCAUUGGAUUUCCCGACUGCCCCAUCCCGUGAUUGCGCAGACGGAGCUGGGAUAUUGAGGCCGGAAUGACACUGGAAUGGGAAUGAAGAUUCCGGGGCCUCCCUCUAAACUCUGCUUUCUUCUUAAUCCUCCCCGUCCUCCUGACUAACACACAAUCCCACAACACACCCACAGGAAGCCAAGUGAUCCUAACCCCCACCUCCCUUUUCCUGCAUUCAGUCUGUCACGCUGCCUGAGACAGUGUUUCCCGUGAGGGUCCUGACAUUAAGGGAUCCUUCCCCCACAUUCACUCAGUGUCUGAACAUCCUCAGGUCUUCAGGACAGCUCUGUGCAGCCUGAACAACAGCCAGACCAGUCACUGGAUCUCAGCACCCUCCUCUAAUCCUGUCACAUACUCACAGGGAAGGAGCCUGCUCCUGACUUCACAGGGUGGGGGGGGGAGGGGGGAAACACAGGGGUCUCCUUGUGAGUUCAUGGAGGGAGUGGGGAAGUGGGAGGAUGAUGUGGGUCAUAUCCUGUCGGAUUGGGAUAAAACGCAGGGUUCAUGUUCUGGAGACCCUCUCUCUGUCUCUGUCUGUCUGUCUGUCUGUCUGUCUCUCUCUCGGGGGCUGACUGAUGGCGGGGAUGGGGUUGGUGGGUGGGAGACUGGCUCUGUGUUAAUUUGUGUGGGAAAACCCUCCCUCCUCCCCCCCACUCUGUAAUUCCCUCACAAUUCAUCAGUAAAACUUCUCAAUCGCUUGGAAA